rnacentral:rRNA from 1 species
GGAAUUGUUGGCAAUGGGCGUAAGCCUGACGACGCAACGCCGCGUGGAGGACGAAAACCUUCGGGUCGUAAACUCCUGUCGAGCGGGACGAAACCCGCACGGGUGAACAAUCCGUGCGGUUGACGGUACCGCUAAAGGCAGCCCCGGCUAACCCCGUGCCAGCAGCCGCGGUAAUCCGGGGGGGGCAAGCGUUGUUCGGAAUUACUGGGCGGAAAGGGCUCGUAGGCGGCCAGCUAAGUCGGACGUGAAAUCCCUCGGCUCAACCGAGGAACUGCGUCCGAUACUGACUGGCUUGAAUCCGGGAGAGGGAUGCGGAAUUCCAGGUGUAGCGGUGAAAUGCGUAGAUAUCUGGAGGAACACCGGUGGCGAAGGCGGCAUCCUGGACCGGUAUUGACGCUGAGGAGCGAAAGCCAGGGGAGCAAA